rnacentral:lncRNA from 1 species
AGUGGAGGACACACUUUAAACUUCAUGGAAGAGGGAAGGGGAGAUGGUGCGAUGCAGAGUGAGGCUCAGAGAACAUCAGGAUGAUGUUGAAUUGACCAAUAGCAGUGGAAAGGGGGAGAUGAGCGGCGUGUACUCGGACACCGCACAUCAGCAUUGUGGACGACCCGCACCGUUACUCACCUUGACUCCUCACACUCACAGAAAGGAUCUGCUGUGAGAAAACGAUGGAAAAAUGAGGGCGAGACAGAAGUUACACAAAACAGCUUAAGAAGCUAUUAAUUGCUCAUCCAGGAAAUCAGAAAAGCGCAAACGUUUCUCUAGACUGUUAACAGCCUCGGAGCCUCCGCCAAAAUGCAGACUAAUAAUUUCACUUUACUUUCACUCGUUUUACUUUUUCUCCUCGAUGGUAUGAAUGAAAUCGAGGGUGUUUUAGAGAGUCCUGAAAUCAGCGUGAAUCCAUCUUCAGUGUCUGAGGGACAGUCUCUCAGGGUCACCUGUGAGGCCCCUUCAUAUCAAAGAAGUUUCCAGUGGUUUCUGUACAGAAACACAGAGGACAGUCCCUUCAUGAAAGGCACAGACUCUGGGAGUAUGUGUGACUUCACAGUCACUGGGACAAAGCUUCUUCAGGGAAAAACAUCCAAUGGAAUUUACACUGCUGUGGAGCUCAGCUGUGAGUACAGGGAUGGAGCCACUAGCUCUCAGAGGAGUAAAAGGAUGGAAGUCAAAGUGCUGGGUUCAUUGCAACCUCCCCAUCUGAAUGUCAGCUCCACUAACACCACAAAGACAGACUCAGUGCAGCUGAGCUGUGAGACUCCUCAGUCUGUCUCAGUGUCUCGUUGUCAGUUCCUGUCGGAUGGACAAACUGUCGGGGAGACGUCUUCACCCUGUCGGCGCUCCAUCACCGGGACUCAGCUGCUCAGGGGGACGAUCCACUCUGGCGACGCUCAGAUUGUAGUUCAGUGUCUGUACACUGCGGACAUAAAUGGGAUUAAUAUACCAUCACCAUCACCGCGCAGUAACAGUAUCACAGUGACAGUGACGGGGUUCCUGAUAAACUCCACAUCUGAUCCAGUGUCCACAACAAAUCUGACAGCUGUGAUCAAUGUGAGCAGCACAUUACUGCCUGAAAAUAGCUUUGUCGGUGUUACCUGUGCUGCUCCACGCACGGUGCGAGAGGCCACCUGGAGGCUCUACAGAGACACACAUACAUCUCCGGUCCUCACACGGACUGGGAAGGGGAAUCUUUUUCGGUUCUCAGUGUCUAGGAGCAACCUUCUUCAGGGAGAAACACACACUGAUGUGUACACUGUUGUACAGCUGAGCUGUGAAUACACUGAUAGCGACUCAAACACCGUCUCUCAGCGGAGCAGCAGGCGGCAGCUGAUGGUCCUGGGCAAACUGCCCCCGGCCAAACUGACACUGAGUCCCGCGAUGGUCACUGAGAGAGGCUCGGUGCAGCUGAGCUGUGAAGGACCUCAGAAUCUGCCUGUGUCUCAGUGUCAGUUCCACGCAGACAAGAAGUGGCUGACUGAGACUCCGUCGGACUGUCAGCUCUCCAUCGCUGGAGCCGAGCUGCUCAGAAGGGGGGGUCGGGGUCACAGCAUGAUCAGCGGGGUUAUUAAAGUGGACUGUCAGUACAUUGUGGGUGCUGGAUUAAAUGCACCUUCCCCACACAGUGAUGGUCUUUCAGUGACACUGCUGGUCGAGCCAAAUAUUAACGUGUCGACACACCACAAUGAGACCGUGGUUCGCUGUGAAGCCCCUCCUCCUGUCACUGGAGCCCUCUUCUACCUGCAUGAGAAAGAAGGGACACAACCCAUCACAGAGAUCCGGGCAGCAGAAGGAGAGAGAGCAGUGAUUUUCACUGUCCCUCGCAGCCCCGACACCACAGUGACCUACUGCUGCGCUUAUAAGUACCAGAACUUCAGCUCUUCGCUGAGUAACUGCACCGGAUCACAAAGUGCACAGGAGAACAAAAACAGUGGUGAGACACCUGUCACACACACACACACACACACACACACACAUACACACACACACGGGCUUUUCCUGCAUCAGUACACAUUGUAUUAA